rnacentral:rRNA from 1 species
GGUCUCCGUUGGUGAACCAGCGGAGGGAUCAUUACCGAGUUUACAACUCCCAAACCCAAUGUGAACGUUACCAAACUGUUGCCUCGGCGGGAUCUCUGCCCCGGGUGCGUCGCAGCCCCGGACCAAGGCGCCCGCCGGAGGACCAACCAAAACUCUUUUUGUAUACCCCCUCGCGGGUUUUUUAUAAUCUGAGCCUUCUCGGCGCCUCUCGUAGGCGUUUCGAAAAUGAAUCAAAACUUUCAACAACGGAUCUCUUGGUUCUGGCAUCGAUGAAGAACGCAGCGAAAUGCGAUAAGUAAUGUGAAUUGCAGAAUUCAGUGAAUCAUCGAAUCUUUGAACGCACAUUGCGCCCGCCAGUAUUCUGGCGGGCAUGCCUGUCCGAGCGUCAUUUCAACCCUCGAACCCCUCCGGGGGGUCGGCGUUGGGGAUCGGCCCUGCCUCUUGGCGGUGGCCGUCUCCGAAAUACAGUGGCGGUCUCGCCGCAGCCUCUCCUGCGCAGUAGUUUGCACACUCGCAUCGGGAGCGCGGCGCGUCCACAGCCGUUAAACACCCAACUUCUGAAAUGUUGACCUCGGAUCAGGUAGGAAUACCCGCUGAACUUAAGCAU